CGUGUAGGCGGCUGAAUAAGUGGGAUGUUAAAUCCCCGGGCUCAACCCGGGAACUGCAUCUCAUACUGUUCAGCUCGAGCACAUCAGAGGAGACUGGAAUUCCCGGUGUAGCGGUGAAAUGCGUAGAUGUCGGGAGGAACACCAGUGGCGAAGGCGAGUCUCUGGGAUGAUGCUGACGCUGAGGCGCGAAAGCCAGGGGAGCAAACG
rnacentral:rRNA from 1 species